AGGUCUCUAACAGCGAAUCCAAGACUGGGAUUUUUUUAAAGCUCUCUUCCCUUCCCCACCUUGAGUGUACAAUGGAGAGUGCUAGUGUGGUGUCACAUGGUGCAACAUGGCUCAGUGUUGUGUGAAACUAAGAGUCCCUGGUUUCUAGUACGGUGCCUGACAGAUAGAUGACUUUCUUUAUAUGUUGCUGAAGACAGGCAGAGAGGAAGAAAGGAAGAGAGGAUAAAGGGAGGAAUAAACUUGAUAUAAGCAUCUUUGCAUAAUUAACAACUGGGUCAAAUUUUCUUCAUUUCAUUGAGAUUCUUGAUACAAGCCUCUGCUGAUGAAUUGGAUUCCAAAAAGAUAUUGUUGUCCAGGCCACACCAUACGGGACUUACCACUCCCAGUUGCUAACAUCUGCACGUAUUUGCCUGGAGGUCUCCUCUGGUCACCAGAUCCUACUCUGCCUGGGCCACAUGACAAGGUGAUGUGCUGAGGAACAAAAGCCCCCAGGAGUAUCCCUCAAGCAGUGUUGGACUGGAGUUGAGAAUGGAUCCAGCCUGUCCAGGCCUUUGUGCUUGCUCUUCCCUCUUCCUGAAUAUUCUGACCUGGCUCUGUGUGUGUCUACUUCCUCCUCAUCUCUCAGAUCUCCUUUGCAAAAGGGCUUCCCCAAUGAUUUAAUUUAAUAUCAUCUUUUCAUGUACCCCAAAUGUCAUUCUCUAGCACUGUAUUCUGUUUAUUUCCUUCAUAGAAUCUACAGUAAAUUCUAAUCGUUUCA
rnacentral:lncRNA from 1 species